rnacentral:rRNA from 1 species
AGUGAACGCUGGCGGUAGGCCUAACACAUGCAAGUCGAACGGCAGCACAGUAAGAGCUUGCUCUUACGGGUGGCGAGUGGCGGACGGGUGAGGAAUACAUCGGAAUCUACUUUUUCGUGGGGGAUAACGUAGGGAAACUUACGCCAAUACCGCAUACGACCUACGGGUGAAAGCAGGGGAUCUUCGGACCUUGCGCGAUUGAAUGAGCCGAUGUCGGAUUAGCUAGUUGGCGGGGUAAAGGCCCACCAAGGCGACGAUCCGUAGCUGGUCUGAGAGGAGGAUCAGCCACACUGGAACUGAGACACGGUCCAGACUCCUACGGGAGGCAGCAGUGGGGAAUAUUGGACAAUGGGCGCAAGCCUGAUCCAGCCAUACCGCGUGGGUGAAGAAGGCCUUCGGGUUGUAAAGCCCUUUUGUUGGGAAAGAAAAGCAGCAGGUUAAUACCCCGCUGUUCUGACGGUACCCAAAGAAUAAGCACCGGCUAACUUCGUG